rnacentral:tRNA from 1 species
GUGGUUGUGGCUCAGUGGUAGAGCACUUGCCUAGAAUGUGUGAGGCCCUGGGUUCGAUCUUCAGCACCACG